rnacentral:rRNA from 1 species
CAGCAGCCGCGGGAAUACGUAGGUGGCAAGCGUUGUCCGGAAUUAUUGGGCGUAAAGGGCUCGCAGGCGGUUUCUUAAGUCUGAUGUGAAAGCCCCCGGCUCAACCGGGGAGGGUCAUUGGAAACUGGGAAACUCGAGUGCAGAAGAGGAGAGUGGAAUUCCACGUGUAGCGGUGAAAUGCGUAGAGAUGUGGAGGAACACCAGUGGCGAAGGCGACUCUCUGGUCUGUAACUGACGCUGAGGAGCGAAAGCGUGGGGAGCGAACAGGAUUAGAUACCCCCGUAGUCCCUGUCUCUUAUAC